CUGCCUACGGGACGCAGCAGUGGGGAAUAUUGCACAAUGGGGGAAACCCUGAUGCAGCGACGCCGCGUGAAGGAAGAAGUAUUUCGGUAUGUAAAGCUCUAUCAGCAGGGAAGAAGAAAGACGGUACCUGACUAAGAAGCCCCGGCUAACUACGUGCCAGCAGCCGCGGUAAUACGUAGGGGGCAAGCGUUAUCCGGAUUUACUGGGGGUAAAGGGAGCGUAGACGGCAUAGCAAGUCUGAAGUGAAAGCCAGUGGCUCAACCGCGGAACUGCUUUGGAAACUGUUAAGCUGGAGUACUGGAGAG
rnacentral:rRNA from 1 species